CACGAAGUAGGUGUUCUUGCCUUCGCCAGUGGUUCCUGGUGGUUUCCCCAAACUAUGAUCUAUGGAUAUCCUCUUCAGAAUAAGAGGUGGUUUCGAUCUGGCUUUUCAGCUGGCGCCUCCUAAAGGUAUGUGUUCCAAAACAUCUUUUAUCGUAGAAUUUAUAAUAUAUAUAUAUGUGUGUGUGUGUGUGUGUGUGUGUGUGUGUGUGUGUGUGUGUAUAAUCCCUCCAUUUUGCCAAGAAAAAUGAGUUAAUGAGAUAAGAAAAAUAAACUCAAAUUAAAUGGGAUUCAACCGAUAUUAUAUUCUAACUCCUUUAGCAGCUCAUAGGACACCUCUGUGUAAAUUAGGAGAUUUAACCUUCCUUUUGAACCUUUAGGGAUGUCUUGAAAAUUGUCACACAAUGUAAAUACAGUUCUUGUAAGUGUAUUACAGAGUUGUGAUUGUGUGUUACCCAUGUUCUGGUACCAAACUCCUUUAAAUACUGUAGUUAAUUGGAAUGUUAGACAGAAUUCAAAGGAAAAGAAAAUCAGCAUGAUUUGUAUGAAGCAAAUUCCAGGAUGUCUUCUAGCUCUUGGCUGAGGCUAAUGCCAAACCCUGAGAUGAAGAGUGUCCAGGGAGUGUGGAAAGUCGGGGCUGGCAUUUGAUACUCCCAAGAUACCACUGCAACAUCGGGUUCAGACACUCGACGAGCACUUAGUUGAGUCUGAAACAGGGGAGUAAAGUCAGAACAGGACAGGAGAACGUGAGGUCAGAAGGACAGCAGCUAACUCCCUCCCUGAUGGUAAAUUACAUCAGUUUUGAAAAUGCCGUCUGUGCUGUUAGAACCACAGAUGUUGGAAGGUGAGGAAUGAGAAGUGAGGGCCAUGAAGACUGCAGAGAAAAGCAGGGUUUCUUUUCGAGGCAAUGAAAGUUUUAUAAUGACAAUAAAAAAUUCCUAUUGACUGUAAGUUUUUAUAGAAAUUUACUAAAAGCCAUUGCAUGGAAUUUAUGGUCUCAGAACCGAAAAGAUAAAAAGGCUGAAAUUGUGGUGGUGGUUGAAAAGUAGGGAGGGUGUUUGAGAGUCACACGUACUGUCUUCUACUUCAUCUCAUGCAUAAAAACCUUCAUGUUGAGAGGUUACGGUCUUUCUAACUCUUGUACUGUUCCUUUAGAAAUGUUUAUCAAGAAUGCACUAAGACAGGUAUUGAAUGACCUGACUACCAAGCUCUCCUCAGAUGCUCUUGUGUUCAGAAUUUGCAACAGCUCUGUGUACCUCUGGCCGAACAGUGACGCAAACACGGGAGAACUGACUGACAGCUCUGCCUGUAAGAGUGUAGUGGACCUCAUUCAGUGAGUGUUUAAAGAGUUUCUGAAGAUAUUGUCACAGCACAGUAUCGUACUUGUAAAUGUCUUUGUAUAUCAAAAUUUUAGAUUUGAUCAAGAGGAGGAUACAAAGCGAAAAUUCAUGAAAAAGAAAGACAAAAAGUUAACCGACAUGCAACAAAUAGUAAAUAUAGACCUCAUGCUGGAAAUAUCGACCCCUCUGGGAGCCGUAACCCCCAUCAUCGAAAGGGAAAACGAAGAACACCACUACAUUAAUAUGAGCUUGCCAAUCGAUGCGGUUGUGUCCGUUGCUCCAGAGGAAACAUGGGGAAAGGGGAAAGAAUCUCGUAACAGUUUUAUAUCCAUCCGGAAUCCCAGAUGAUCAGCUACAAGCCUAUAGAAAGGAGUUACAUGAUCUCUUCAAAUUGCCUCAUGACAGACCUUAUCUCAAAAGGAUUAAUGCUUAUCACUUUCCGGAUGAACUAUAUAAAGAUGGCUAUAUUAGAAAUCCGCAUGCUUACCUGAGCCCACCUAACAUAGAGGGUAGUAUGAUUUGCAUGGUCCAGGGCACUUACGCCUAUCAUCACUACAUGCAAAAUCGGGUGGACGACAACGGCUGGGGCUGUGCUUACAGGUCACUACAGACGGUCUGCUCAUGGUUCAGACAUCAGGGUUACACAGAAAGGGCCAUUCCAACACACAGGGAAAUCCAGCAGGCUCUAGUUGAUGCCGGUGACAAACCAGCAACAUUUGUUGGAUCACGGCAAUGGAUCGGGUCUAUUGAAGUGCAGCUGGUACUAAACCAACUGAUCGGUGUAACUUCCAAAAUACUGUUUGUCAAGUAAGUAUGCUUUGUGAACCACAUCCAUCGUUUACACAUAACAGUUUAUAACUCUUAUUAAAAUAAUUGAAAAAUG
rnacentral:lncRNA from 1 species